UACGGAGGGUGCAAACGUUGCUCGGAAUCAUUGGGCGUAAAGCGCACGUAGGCGGUUACGUAAGUCGGGUGUGAAAGCCCUAGGCUCAACCAAGGAAGUGCAUUCGAAACUGCGUAACUUGAGUACGGGAGAGGUUCGCGGAAUUCCCGGUGUAGAGGUGAAAUUCGUAGAUAUCGGGAGGAACACCAGAGGCGAAGGCGGCGGACUGGACCGAUACUGACGCUGAGGUGCGAAAGCGUGGGGAGCAAACAGG
rnacentral:misc_RNA from 1 species